rnacentral:rRNA from 1 species
UGGGGAAUAUUGCACAAUGGGGGAAACCCUGAUGCAGCGACGCCGCGUGAGUGAAGAAGUAUUUCGGUAUGUAAAGCUCUAUCAGCAGGGAAGAUAAUGACGGUACCUGACUAAGAAGCUCCGGCUAAAUACGUGCCAGCAGCCGCGGUAAUACGUAUGGAGCAAGCGUUAUCCGGAUUUACUGGGUGUAAAGGGAGCGCAGACGGCAAGGCAAGUCUGAUGUGAAAGUCCGAGGCUCAACCUCGGGACUGCAUUGGAAACUGUCUGGCUAGAGUGCAGGAGAGGUAAGUGGAAUUCCUAGUG